rnacentral:lncRNA from 1 species
GGCAGCAAGACAGUGGGGUUGAGCAAGUCUGUGACAUACAAUUAGCGGCUGGGUGAGACAGCUUCUGACCAAAUAGAUAGUCACUCGAUGAGAAAAAUAGGCUGAAGGCGGUGAUUCGGAGCUUACUCAUGCGGGCGCCACAUAUUUCCCUUACCCUAGGGGCUGUGAAUAGAGAUUUUGGUUUUAAACCUUGGAAGGUCUUGCUCUUUGCCCAUCAAACAAGCAGAAUGCACAAGCUUGCUUAGAGCAAAUGGUUCUCUGAUUCAGAUUUUCCAGAGGGAAAGAGGAAUGUAUGUUAGCAGAUUACUUCCCUCGCGUGUCUGGCCGGGGUAAGCCUCCUAGGCGGGCUAAUGAUCUCCUGCGGGCUGGUGGCACUGGCUGCCAGCAGAGAGAAGCAGCCUCCUCCUCUGCCCUAUCGGUGGCCCCAAAGACUUCUCUUCCACCUGGGACAGUGACCCGCUGGCUCCAGGCCUGGGGCUCAAGGCCCUGGAAGCCCAGAGCACAGGGAAACCACGAGACACUAGAGGGACCCCUGAGCUGGGGGUUGUUGUUGGGGACUUUGUCCUGGUUUGGUCCAGAUCUUCCCCAUGGCGCUCGUCUCUCGGAUGCAGAAUGGCAGUGGCCCAGGCCAUCGGGCUGAGAGCCACUGGGUGUUCAGAAGGACUGUGGCCACAGAGAUGGAUGGGAUCAGCAACCGGGGAGGAUCUUGUCAGGACACCAGAGGAGACAGCUCUGCUGGUUGCUGAUCUUCCCCGUAAUUCUAAAAGUACCAAGGAUGGAACUCAUGGCAUCACACAUCUAGGCAAGAGCUCACUGCUGAGCUACACUUCUAGUCCUGAUCUUUUUCAUACAAAUGAACUGGAUUUUAGACAACUUGGUCUCAGAGAAGAUCCUGUUUCAUUCUUGGGAAAUCUGCAGUUUUUUGCAUUCAUCAGGUGACUUUGAAAUUUGCCAAAUCUGAGACAUAGCUGAGAGGGAGUAAGCGCUGUUUCCUGAAGGAGGAAUAAUUCUUAAGAAGAAAGAAUUCCACAGCUGUUGGGAACCUUGCUGAUUUUUGUAAUUUAUUUCCUUUUUCAUAGUUUCAAAAAGUCUCCCACGAGACAAAGAAGUGCAAGCACUUUCUAAUACUAUAAUUUGCUUUCCAGUGUAUUAAAAUGUUCAUGAAAAAGUCAACAUUUCCCUGGUCUUAGUAUCCAUUAUGCUGCUGAAAUCAUCAGACCAGGUGACACUGA